AAAAAAAAGGCGAAGGAGUAGCCAUGUGGAGAGGCUCCUGUCUGGAUGAUUCCCCAGCUCACAGCAAUCUGCCAAGAAGCUGGCAGGGCCUAGGGUCAUCCACAGUGAAGCUUGGGAUCCCAGAUCACUUUGAGAGGCAGCACCAGUGAAACCAGCCUGUGAAAAAGCUGGAGAAGUUUUUGGACAAAACGUGAAUGAUUUUAAAGCUAUUGGAGACUUUGCAAGUUCAGAAACAGAAGCUAAACUCUGAGGCUGUGCUAAGGCUGCCGGAACACUGAGCAGAAGUUGAGGAGAUACUGAAUGUAUUCCAUGGCCUGAAGGCAGGAUUGACACCAGACCUUCUACACUUUUCUUUGACUGAAUAUUUUGUGGGGACUUCGAGCUAUGAAGUUGUGCAAUUUUUGGAAGGCUGUGUGGAUCAUGAUUAACAAAUUCUAGUUGAUCAGGACCAGGAAAUUAGCAACGUCCUUACUGUGGCCUCUAUGGAUCACCACAUCUACAGUGCCAGAAUGGAAUGGGUGAAGUCACCUGAACCUUUCACUCUGAUGAAAGACUGGGAAAACGAAUACAAGGCCUCCAUACUUUCCUAGAAGCAAAAAAGUCUGAGUGGCUGAUUGCCAAGUGCACCAUGCCAAGAGUUGUUGGGAUCUCCCACACAUUCCAAUGGGAAUAUUAACAGGUCUACAUAUUGCUGGGUAAAGUCUUCCAAACUUCCAAGAGAGCUAUGAAUAUCUACUGUUUAAUGUAUGUACGGUUUGUGGUCCCUUGCUAUCCGGAAACUCUCAAAACUCUGCAAAUACCUUAUGAAACUCUCACACACAGACAGCUCUCCAAACAUUCCUUCUCCUCUCUUUGAGCAUAUGUGGUCUCAAAAUC